UACGUAGGGGGCUAGCGUUGUCCGGAAUCAUUGGGCGUAAAGCGCGCGUAGGCGGCCCGGUAAGUCCGCUGUAAAAGUCAAAGGCUCAACCUUUGAAUGUCAGUGGAUACUGCCGGGCUAGAGUCCGGAAGAGGCGAGUGGAACUCCUGGUGUAGCGGUGGAAUGCGCAGAUAUCAGGAAGAACACCGACGGCGAAGGCAGCUCGCUGGGACGGUACUGACGCUGAGGCGCGAAAAGCGUGGGGGAGCGAACAGG
rnacentral:rRNA from 1 species